CAGUCGCCGCGGUAAUGCGAAGGGUGCAAGCGUUGCUCGGAAUGACUGGGCGUAAAGGGCGCGUAGGCGGUUACUCCAGUCAGAGGUGAAAGCCCGGGGCUCAACCCCGGAACUGCCUUUGAAACUAGGUGACUAGAAUCUUGGAGAGGUCAGUGGAAUUCCGAGUGUAGAGGUGAAAUUCGUAGAUAUUCGGAAGAACACCAGUGGCGAAGGCGACUGACUGGACAAGUAUUGACGCUGAGGUGCGAAAGCGUGGGGAGCAAACAGGAUUAGAGACCCCGGUAGUCCCUGUCUCUUAUAC
rnacentral:rRNA from 1 species